GGGUGUGUAGUUUAAAUAAGAACGCCGGCUUUGUAACCCGGAAGUGAGUAAGGGCCUUCCGCAUCCU
rnacentral:tRNA from 1 species